rnacentral:pre_miRNA from 1 species
AGAGGUAGUAGGUUGCAUAGUUUUAGGGCAGGGAUUUUGCCCACAAGGAGCUAACUAUACGACCUGCUGCCUUUC